rnacentral:misc_RNA from 1 species
AAGUCGUAACAAGGUUUCCGUAGGUGAACCUGCGGAAGGAUCAUUAAUAAAGGUUGUCGAGUUUACUCGACAUUCCUGAUCAUUCCUUUGUGCACUUUCGAUAAUGCUUUGGUAGAUUUUUCGAAGUCUACCAAAAGUUUUAAAGCCUUUCUUUUAUGUCUGAAAUAAAAAAAUUUAAUUCAAAUACAACUUUCAACAACGGAUCUCUUGGCUCUC